rnacentral:tRNA from 1 species
GCCUGGGUGGCUCAGUCGGUUGAGCGUCCGACUUCGGCUCAGGUCAUGAUCUCGCAGUUUGUGAGUUCGAGCCCCACGUCGGGCU